UGACAGUCGAGCGGACAGAAGGGAGCUUGCUCCCGGAUGUUAGCGGCGGACGGGUGAGUAACACGUGGGUAACCUGCCUGUAAGACUGGGAUAACUCCGGGAAACCGGAGCUAAUACCGGAUAGUUCCUUGAACCGCAUGGUUCAAGGAUGAAAGACGGUUUCGGCUGUCACUUACAGAUGGACCCGCGGCGCAUUAGCUAGUUGGUGGGGUAAUGGCUCACCAAGGCGACGAUGCGUAGCCGACCUGAGAGGGUGAUCGGCCACACUGGGACUGAGACACGGCCCAGACUCCUACGGGAGGCAGCAGUAGGGAAUCUUCCGCAAUGGACGAAAGUCUGACGGAGCAACGCCGCGUGAGUGAUGAAGGUUUUCGGAUCGUAAAGCUCUGUUGUUAGGGAAGAACAAGUGCGAGAGUAACUGCUCGCACCUUGACGGUACCUAACCAGAAAGCCACGGCUAACUACGUGCCAGCAGCCGCGGUAAUACGUAUGUGGCAAGCGUUGUCCGGAAUUAUUGGGCGUAAAGGGCUCGCAGGCGGUUUCUUAAGUCUGAUGUGAAAGCCCCCGGCUCAACCGGGGAGGGUCAUUGGAAACUGGGAAACUUGAGUGCAGAAGAGGAGAGUGGAAUUCCACGUGUAGCGGUGAAAUGCGUAGAGAUGUGGAGGAACACCAGUGGCGAAGGCGACUCUCUGGUCUGUAACUGACGCUCAGGAGCGAAAGCGUGGGGGAGCGAACAGGAUUAGAUACCCUGGUACUCCACGCCGUAAACGAUGAGUGCUAAGUGUUAGGGGGUUUCCGCCCCUUAGUGCUGCAGCUAACGCAUUAAGCACUACG
rnacentral:rRNA from 1 species